rnacentral:tRNA from 1 species
UGGGAUGUAGCCAAGCGGUUAAGGCAACGGACUUUGACUCCGUCAUCGAAGGUUCGAUUCCUUCCAUCCCAGCCA